GACAGCAGUAGCCGCGGGAAUACGAAGGGUGCAAGCGUUACUCGGAAUUACUGGGCGUAAAGCGUGCGUAGGUGGUGGUUUAAGUCCGUUGUGAAAGCCCUGGGCUCAACCUGGGAAUUGCAGUGGAUACUGGGUCACUAGAGUGUGGUAGAGGAUAGUGGAAUUUCCGGUGUAGCAGUGAAAUGCGUAGAGAUCGGAAGGAACAUCUGUGGCGAAGGCGACUAUCUGGGCCAACACUGACACUGAGGCACGAAAGCGUGGGGAGCAAACAGGAUUAGAUACCCGUGUAGUCCCUGUCUCUUAUAC
rnacentral:rRNA from 1 species